rnacentral:rRNA from 1 species
GAUGAACGCUAGCUACAGGCUUAACACAUGCAAGUCGAGGGGAAACGAUAGAGAAGGCUUGCUUUUUCUAGGCGUCGACCGGUGCACGGGUGAGUAACGCGUAUCCAACCUGCCCACCACUUGGGGAUAACCUUGCGAAAGUAAGACUAAUACCCAAUGAUAUCUCAAGAAGACAUCUGAAUGAGAUUAAAGAUUUAUCGGUGAUGGAUGGGGAUGCGUCUGAUUAGCUUGUUGGCGGGGUAACGGCCCACUAAGGCGACGACGAGUAGGGGUUCUGAGAGGAAGGUCCCCCACAUUGGAACUGAGACACGGUCCAAACUCCUACGGGAGGCAGCAGUGAGGAAUAUUGGUCAGUGGGCGAGAGCCUGAACCAGCCAAGUAGCGUGCAGGAUGACGGCCCUAUGGGUUGUAAACUGCUUUUAUAAGGGAAUAAAGUGAGUCUCGUGAGGCUUUUUGCAUGUACCUUAUGAAUAAGGACCGGCUAAUUCCGUGCCAGCAGCCGCCGUAA